rnacentral:rRNA from 1 species
CCUACGGGGGGCAGCAGUGAGGAAUAUUGGUCAAUGGACGAGAGUCUGAACCAGCCAAGUAGCGUGAAGGAUGACUGCCCUAUGGGUUGUAAACUUCUUUUAUAUGGGAAUAAAAUGUUCCACGUGUGGGAUUUUGUAUGUACCAUAUGAAUAAGGAUCGGCUAACUCCGUGCCAGCAGCCGCGGUAAUACGGAGGAUCCGAGCGUUAUCCGGAUUUAUUGGGUUUAAAGGGAGCGUAUGUGGAUUGUUAAGUCAGUUGUGAAAGUUUGCGGCUCAACCGUAAAAUUGCAGUUGAAACUGGCAGUCUUGAGUACAGUAGAGGUGGGCGGAAUUCGUGGUGUAGCGGUGAAAUGCUUAGAUAUCACGAAGAACUCCGAUUGCGAAGGCAGUUCACUGGACUGCAACUGACACUGAGGCUCGAAAGUGUGGGUAUCAAACAGGAUUAGAUACCCCAGUAGUC